UCUGAACCUUCGGGGAACGAUAACGGCGUCGAGCGGCGGACGGGUGAGUAAUGCCUAGGAAAUUGCCCUGAUGUGGGGGAUAACCAUUGGAAACGAUGGCUAAUACCGCAUGAUGCCUACGGGCCAAAGAGGGGGACCUUCGGGCCUCUCGCGUCAGGAUAUGCCUAGGUGGGAUUAGCUAGUUGGUGAGGUAAGGGCUCACCAAGGCGACGAUCCCUAGCUGGUCUGAGAGGAUGAUCAGCCACACUGGAACUGAGACACGGUCCAGACUCCUACGGGAGGCAGCAGUGGGGAAUAUUGCACAAUGGGCGCAAGCCUGAUGCAGCCAUGCCGCGUGUGUGAAGAAGGCCUUCGGGUUGUAAAGCACUUUCAGUCGUGAGGAAGGUAGUGUAGUUAAUAGCUGCAUUAUUUGACGUUAGCGACAGAAGAAGCACCGGCUAACUCCGUGCCAGCAGCCGCGGUAAUACGGAGGGUGCGAGCGUUAAUCGGAAUUACUGGGCGUAAAGCGCAUGCAGGUGGUUUGUUAAGUCAGAUGUGAAAGCCCGGGGCUCAACCUCGGAAUAGCAUUUGAAACUGGCAGACUAGAGUACUGUAGAGGGGGGUAGAAUUUCAGGUGUAGCGGUGAAAUGCGUAGAGAUCUGAAGGAAUACCGGUGGCGAAGGCGGCCCCCUGGACAGAUACUGACACUCAGAUGCGAAAGCGUGGGGAGCAAACAGGAUUAGAUACCCUGGUAGUCCACGCCGUAAACGAUGUCUACUUGGAGGUUGUGGCCUUGAGCCGUGGCUUUCGGAGCUAACGCGUUAAGUAGACCGCCUGGGGAGUACGGUCGCAAGAUUAAAACUCAAAUGAAUUGACGGGGGCCCGCACAAGCGGUGGAGCAUGUGGUUUAAUUCGAUGCAACGCGAAGAACCUUACCUACUCUUGACAUCCAGAGAACUUUCCAGAGAUGGAUUGGUGCCUUCGGGAACUCUGAGACAGGUGCUGCAUGGCUGUCGUCAGCUCGUGUUGUGAAAUGUUGGGUUAAGUCCCGCAACGAGCGCAACCCUUAUCCUUGUUUGCCAGCGAGUAAUGUCGGGAACUCCAGGGAGACUGCCGGUGAUAAACCGGAGGAAGGUGGGGACGACGUCAAGUCAUCAUGGCCCUUACGAGUAGGGCUACACACGUGCUACAAUGGCGCAUACAGAGGGCGGCCAACUUGCGAAAGUGAGCGAAUCCCAAAAAGUGCGUCGUAGUCCGGAUUGGAGUCUGCAACUCGACUCCAUGAAGUCGGAAUCGCUAGUAAUCGUGGAUCAGAAUGCCACGGUGAAUACGUUCCCGGGCCUUGUACACACCGCCCGUCACACCAUGGGAGUGGGCUGCAAAAGAAGUAGGUAGUUUAAC
rnacentral:rRNA from 1 species